rnacentral:rRNA from 1 species
GAUGAACGCUGGCGGCGUGCCUAAUACAUGCAAGUCGAGCGAACAGAUGAGGAGCUUGCUCCUCUGACGUUAGCGGCGGACGGGUGAGUAACACGUGGAUAACCUACCUAUAAGACUGGGAUAACUUCGUGAAACCGGAGCUAAUACCGGAUAAUAUAUUGAACCGCAUGGUUCAAUAGUGAAAGACGGUUUUGCUGUCACUUAUAGAUGGAUCCGCGCCGCAUUAGCUAGUUGGUAAGGUAACGGCUUACCAAGGCAACGAUGCGUAGCCGACCUGAGAGGGUGAUCGGCCACACUGGAACUGAGACACGGUCCAGACUCCUACGGGAGGCAGCAGUAGGGAAUCUUCCGCAAUGGGCGAAAGCUUGACGGAGCAACGCCGCGUGAGUGAUGAAGGUCUUCGGAUCGUAAAACUCUGUUAUUAGGGAAGAACAAAUGUGUAAGUAACUAUGCACGUCUUGACGGUACCUAAUCAGAAAGCAACGGCUAACUACGUG